UACGAAGGGGGCUAGCGUUGCUCGGAAUCACUGGGCGUAAAGGGUGCGUAGGCGGGUCUUUAAGUCAGGGGUGAAAUCCUGGAGCUCAACUCCAGAGCUGCCUUUGAUACUGAGGAUCUUGAGUUCGGGAGAGGUGAGUGGAACUGCGAGUGUAGAGGUGAAAUUCGUAGAUAUUGGGAAGAACACCUGUGGCGAAGGCGGCUUUCUGGGCCCUACCUGACGCUGAGACGCGAAAGCGUGGGGAGCGAACCGG
rnacentral:rRNA from 1 species